UCAAGAAUAUUCCCCAAUGGCCGAAAGGCUGAGGGAGCGACGCCGCGUGUAGGAAGAAGCUUUUCGGAGUGUAAACUACUUUUCUGUGGGAAAAAUUAAUGAUGGUACCACAGGAAUAAGGGGCUGCUAACUUCGUGCCAGCAGCAGCGGUAAUACGAAGGCCCCGAGCGUUAUCCGGAUUUAUUGGGCGUAAAGAGCUCAACGGUGGCUCAUCAAGUCUUUGGUUAAAUUUUGAUGCUCAACAUCAAAGCUGCCAGAGAAACUAGUGAGCUAGAGGACAGAAGAGGCAGACGGAAUUGCCGGUGUAGUAGUAAAAUGCGUUAAUAUCGGCAAGAACACCAAUUGCGAAGGCAGUCUGCUGGGAUGCUCCUGACACUUCACGAGCGAAAGCGUGGGUAGCGAUACGG
rnacentral:rRNA from 1 species